AGUCGAGGGGUAGAGUACAAUACUUGAGACCGGCGCACGGGUGCGUAACGCGUAUGCAAUCUACCUUUUACAGAGGGAUAGCCCAGAGAAAUUUGGAUUAAUACCUCAUAGCAUUGCAGGAUGGCAUCAUCCAGCAAUUAAAGUCACAACGGUAAAAGAUGAGCAUGCGUCCCAUUAGCUAGUUGGUAAGGUAACGGCUUACCAAGGCUACGAUGGGUAGGGGUCCUGAGAGGGAGAUCCCCCACACUGGUACUGAGACACGGACCAGACUCCUACGGGAGGCAGCAGUGAGGAAUAUUGGACAAUGGGCGCAAGCCUGAUCCAGCCAUGCCGCGUGCAGGAUGACGGUCCUAUGGAUUGUAAACUGCUUUUGUACGAGAAGAAACACUCCUAUGUAUAGGAGCUUGACGGUAUCGUAAGAAUAAGGAUCGGCUAACUCCGUGCCAGCAGCCGCGGUAAUACGGAGGAUCCAAGCGUUAUCCGGAAUCAUUGGGUUUAAAGGGUCCGUAGGCGGUUUAAUAAGUCAGUGGUGAAAGCCCAUCGCUCAACGGUGGAACGGCCAUUGAUACUGUUAAACUUGAAUUAUUAGGAAGUAACUAGAAUAUGUAGUGUAGCGGUGAAAUGCUUAGAGAUUACAUGGAAUACCAAUUGCGAAGGCAGGUUACUACUAAUUGAUUGACGCUGAUGG
rnacentral:rRNA from 1 species